rnacentral:misc_RNA from 1 species
UGGGUUUGACAUAUAGGGAAAUCCUCCAUCUCUGGAAACCGUCCUACCAUGUCAAACGCUGGUAAGGUUCUGCGCGUUGCUUCGAAUUAAACCACAUGCUCCACCGCUUGUGCAGGCCCCCGUCAAUUUCUUUGAGUUUUAACCUUGCGGCCGUACUCCCCAGGCGGAUGACUUAACGCGUUAGCUGCGCCACCGAAGCUCCAAGAGCCCCGACAGCUAGUCAUCAUCGUUUACGGCGUGGACUAC